rnacentral:rRNA from 1 species
CGCGUAGGCGGCCCGGCAAGUCGGAUGUGAAAGCCCGGGGCUCAACCUCGGAACGGCAUUCGAAACUGCUGGGCUCGAGAACGGAAGAGGAGAGUGGAAUACCCAGUGUAGAGGUGAAACUCGUAGAUAUUGGGUGGAACACCGGUGGCGAAAGCGGCUCUCUGGUCCGGGUCUGACGCUGAGGCGCGAAAGCGUGGGGAGCAAACA